AUUAGUAAGCGGAGGAAAAGAAAACAAAUGUGAUUCCCCCAGUAAUGGCGAAUGAAAAGGGAAAAGUCCAGCGUGAAGGCCAGCAUUUCAUAAAAGAGAUGCUGUGCGAUGCCACGUCAAUAGUCGGGUUCUCGCGUCACAUUCAUAUCUUUGCAUUUCCUUCGGGGAGUGUGAAGGGCUGGUGACUAGGUCUUCUCGAAUGUUGCAUGAGCGGGGGAAGGGCUGCCGUCUUCGGGCGGUGGGUGUCCUCCAAUCAAUGUACCAAAGAGGGUGAAAGUCCCGUAUGUUACCGGCUUUGAAUGUGUCCUUGCCCAUUUGGCUAUGAUCGAGUCAUGUUCCUCGACCCUGGAACAUAAAGCACCAGGUAUGGUCCUGGUAAGACUAAAUAUGACUGUGAGACCGAUAGCAAACAAGUAGCGUGAGCGAAAGUUGAAAAGAACUUUGAAGAGAGAGUUCAAAAGGACGUGAAACCGCCUUACAGGUAAAGAGAUGGACCCACGAAGUCGUCGUUGACAUGUCGUCUUUGAGGGCGACUCAAUCACACUUAUUCGGUGUGAUGGAUGUUGCUCGUCAUGGCGUACUGUCACUCUCUCAGCAUAGCAAAUGGGAGAGACGAUGUCCUCGGAAAUUGAAUGUGAGGAGGAGAGAUGGGGGAUGCUGGUUUUCUCGUAAAGCCAAAUUCUCUUGUCGUAAGGUGGCGGUGCAGGUGAACUUACAUUCGGUGGAAAGUGAUCUCAUUGUCACUAUGCUCCUUGCCUUUGUAUCAAUUUCUCAUACGCGGAAUGAUAGACUAUGUCUAUUGUGCGAUGAGUGUGUACUUCACAGAGGGUCAUUAGGCGAGACUUGCAAGUAUGCGUGUGAUGAUCAUGAUUUUCAAAAGAAAAUCACUGCUCAAUACGUAUUCAAGUUUUGUCGAUGAUGUGGCCUGAGUGGGUGCCCUCAGCGAAGAGGACAAGUAGGUCGGAUAUCCAUCUCACCCGUCUUGAAACACGGACCAAGGAGUCUAACAUGUGCGCAAGUCUGACAAUCUUGAAUAGGUUGUUUACAGGCAAAGUGAAAGCAAAUUCAAUCCCUUCUCGCGAAGGGAUUUCGGUGAUCCGCAAGUUCGCCUGAGUUGUUCGCGGCUCACGACUUGUGGCGCAGCCGAGACGGUUAUUUACCCCCUAACAUGGAGUGGGAAAUGACCAGUCGGAGCGUACACGUUAGGACCCGAAAGAUGGUGAUCUACGCUUGACCAAGAUGAAGUCAAAGGAAACUUUGAUGGAGGUCUGUAGCGAUUCUGACGUGCAAAUCGAUCGUCUGAGUUGAGUGUAGGGGCGAAAGACUAAUCGAACCAUCUAGUAGCUGGUUCCCUCCGAAGUUUCCCUCAGGAUAGCAGGCGCACGGACGUGAAUGAAGAGUUGGAUCCGGUAAAGCAAAUGAUUAGAGGCCUCGGGAGCGCAAUGUUCUUGACCUAUUCUCAAACUUUCAAUGGGUUCAUAAGCGAGUCAAUUUUCUUGAUUGAAAGUGACUCUUUUAUGGAUAAAAUCAAGUGUGCCUAGUGGGCCUGUUUUGGUAAGCAGAACUGGCGAUGUGGGAUGAACCAAAAGUUGAGUUAAGGUGUCAAAAAUGGAUCGAAUGUCGCUGGCUCGGAUAAGAGAGCAGUGAACUGAUGAAAGACACUCAUGAGAUACCAUAAAAGGUGUUGAUUGCUAUUGACAGCAGGACGGUGGCCAUGGAAGUCGGAAUCCGCCAAGGAGUGUGUAACAACUCACCUGCCGAAGCAAUCUGCCCUGAAAAUGGAUGACGCUAUAGUGUCAUACCUAUACUCAACCAUUCAUUGAAAAGCUGAUUUGCGUUGGCCAUGAUCAAUGAAUGUGUAGGAGGGCGUGCGAGUGAUGUGCGUUGAAGUUGGAGUCGUGAGACUCAAUGGAGCCGCUCGCAGUGCAGAUCUUGGUGGUAGUAGCAAAUACUCAAGUGAGAACCUUGAGGGCUGACGUGGAGAAGGGUUUCUCGUGAACAGUAAUUGAACGAGAGUGAGUCGGUCCUAAGCGGGAGCCGAAAGGCCCACCCUAUUUGAUUGAUUCAAUUUGAAUGCAAAUGGAAUAAAGGAUUCACUUUACACGAGUGAAGUCAUUAAUCCAGACUGUGUUCAGGCAAAAGGGAAACAGAUUAAUAUUUCUGUACCAUGCAAUGGAGAUAGACAAGUCGGGGAAGCUCAUCACUUGCGAGUGGUGGGUUGUAGCUGACUUGUCAAAAAGGGUAACCUAAACGAGCUCGGGGACGUCAAAUGCUGGUCGGGGAAGAGUUAUCUUUUCUUUGUAAGGUAUCGCCCAAGGUUCGUGUGUCGUGCUUCGCGGCGCGGCGCACAACUUAAAAUCCCAGGAAAGAGUUCAGCUCGAGAAUGGGAGGUUGAUGCCGAAAACUGCUUCCAUACCGGAAGUGGCCCGCACCCAGUCUGUUUGGCCCUUGAAAACCGCCGAGUGAGUGUGUAUAAUUUUCAUGCAUGGCCGUACCCAUAUCCGCAUCAGGUCUCCAAGGUUUAAGAACCUCUAGCUCCUUAGAUUUAAUGUAGGUAAGGGAAGUCGGCAAAUUAGCACCGUAACUUCGGGAGAAGGUGUGGCUCUGACGGCUUGUCUUGGUCGGUGGAUCAUUUGUGGGAGCGCUCGGUUCUAAGUCGGUUGUUGAUGGCGUAGUGAGAAGCCUGUGCCUCGGUGCGGUGGAUCAUUAUGUCUUGUCGACUGACUGACGGUGAGCUGUGGCAUUCUCCGAUUCACUCUUUUAGAUCAAGAAAUAAAAGUCAAGUCAGAACCUGCAAGGACAAGGGGAAUCCGACUGUCUAAUUAAAACAAAGCAUCGUGACUCAUAUAAUGAGUAUCCUCAAAUGUUUAUCAUAAAAACGCGGAGGAAAUGUUACAAUAAGCGACGCGAUGUGAUUUCUGCCCAGUGCUCUGAAUGUCAAUGCGAAGAAAUUCUCACAAGCGCGGGUAAACGGCGGGAGUAACUAUGACUCUCUUAAGGUAUCCAAAUGCCUCGUCAUUUAAUUGGUGACGCGCAAGAACGGAUUAACGAGAUUCCUACUGUCCCUAUCUACUUUCUAGCGAAACCACAGCCAAGGGAACGGGCUUGGGAAAAUCAGCGGGGAAAGAAGACCCUGUUGAGCUUGACUCCAGUCUUAAAUUGUGCGAUGACACGCAAGGUGUAGAAUAGGUGGGAGAUCUUGUUCUUUACGGGCUUGGUCGACGGUGAAAUACCACCACUUGCGUUGUUGUCUCACUAACUUGUUAAAAAAGGAUUUGGUCUUUCGAGUCGUUGAUGUGAUGGCUUCGCGGCCUGAUCAUUUCACUCAUUUCACGACCAAAAUUUGUGAUUUUACGUAUCAUGGGUCGAGUCAUUCUCAAUUGUGUGAUGAGUGCUUCUCUCUCGAGGGGAGCGCUUGUUGCACUCUUAGAAAGUCUCAUUUAUGGCCCUUACAACCUCAGCUGUAGCGCGAAAACAAGAACAGUUUGAGAUGGGGAGUUUGACUGGGGCGGUACAUCUUUAAAAGAGUAACGAAGGUGUCCAAAGGUCGGCUCAGUGAGGACAGAAACCUCACGUAGAGCAUAAGGGCAAAAGCCGGAAUCAUUAUCUUGAUUCAAUAAUGUUCACGCAUGUAAACAUUUGAACCUGGAAACAGGGGCCUAAUGAUCCUUUAGCCAAUAAGUUCACGGAGAGGGUGUUCCUUUCGCGAGGGGCACUAGUAUCCGUGUAGUUCACGAUUGAGCACAAGCUUAGGUUCAAGCUAUAGGUGUCAGAAAAGUUACCACAGGGAUAACUGGCUUGUGGCCGCCAAGCGUUCAUAGCGACGUGGCUUUUUGAUCCUUCGAUGUCGGCUCUUCCUAUCAUUACGAAGCAGAAUUCGUAAAGCGUUGGAUUGUUCACCCACUAAUAGGGAACGUGAGCUGGGUUUAGACCGUCGUGAGACAGGUUAGUUUUACCCUACUGAUUCACUUCUUUUGAAGAUGGUAUCACUGACCUCGAGAGUGGAGCGCAGUGUCGCACGUAGGCACUCGUGUCUCUGCCCUCGUGAAAAUGACAGGAGGUACAUCAAUUUUUCGUCGUUGCGAUAGAAAACUACGGUAGUACGAGAGGAACUCGUGGUUGGGGCCGCUGGCAUAUACAGCCGUUUGACCAAACGAUGCUGUGACGCUACGCUCCUGGGAUAAGCACUGAACGCCUCUAAGUGUGAAGCCCUUCUAGCCAUUGCAACGAUACCCAGACUUGUCUCUUCUUUCGGGGGGAGACAUGAUGGUUGAAAGUGUACUGGUGCUCUCACGGUUCAAUUAGCAAGCUGUCUGCGUUGAGUCGGGCCAUCAUGCCUUCAUUCGUAAGAGUGGAGGUGGCUGGUUCUUCGCGGUCGUCGCUUGUGUUUCAAAGCCUCUUACUGGCAUGGGGGAUUUGGUGGGYCACACUAUCAUAGAGUGAUCGCACCUCAUAUCCUAUCCUAACCAGACUGACUAAUUUGUGAGAGAGUGCCGUACACCGAACCCUUUGUAGACGACUUAAAUCGCCCAGUCGGGGUAGCGUACUUAGUAGAGCAGCCA
rnacentral:rRNA from 1 species